GACGAGGGGUGCUAACGUUGUUCGGAAUUACUGGGCGUAAAGCGCAUGUAGGCGGCUUUUCAAGUCAGAUGUGAAAUCCUACGGCUCAACCGUAGAACUGCAUUUGAUACUGUUAAGCUUGAAUAUGAGAGGGGAUGGUAGAAUUCCUGGUGUAGUGGUGAAAUACGUAGAUAUCAGGAGGAACACCGGUGGCGAAGGCGGCCAUCUGGCUCAAUAUUGACGCUGAGAUGCGAAAGCGUGGGGAUCAAACAGG
rnacentral:misc_RNA from 1 species